AUAGCUUCACAGUCCGCCACUGAAGCCAAAGAAGAAAAGAAGACGAAGAUUACCGCGGUAGCAGAAGCAGAGAGUAGAAGCAGAGAGUAGAGGCACGCUUUGUUUUCUGGUGGAAAUGGUAAGAUCAUAUUAUGAAUGUUGCUCAGGUUAAGGUUUGUUUUGUGUUGUUAUCUGUGGCAGUUUCAGGUGAAGCGGUCCGACUGACGGCACAUCUGUAGGUGGAAACAGUUGCGACCUUUUGCUCGGACAUUACAUUUUUAAGGUCUCUUCUAAGUAUUGUGAGCAAAGGCACCUUUGAACAUAUCUGAAGUAACUUGAGCUGGUUGCGAUGCUGUUGUUGGUUCACAUGUUUACUAGCAGUGGAAGUAACCCGACCAUCGUGGGCCUGUCUCCACGUGGUCAGCCUUUAGCAUGGUAGCUCACAGUGUGUUGCCAUGUGAGGAGUAAUUGGAGUAUGAUCAGGCAGUAAGACUUGAAUUAAUUUUGGGUUGUAGUGAUUAGUAACUUAAUAAUACUGCAUGAUCGCUUUUAUUUCAAGCGGUAUGAGGAUGUGCUUCCCCCCCCCCCUCCCCUGAUGACUUGCACUGGGCUCUGAGUCUGGAUGAAGACAGCUGUGCAUCUUUGGCCCUGACAAGCCAGAGUUUCUGAGGAGAAAGUAAACCUAGUGUUACACGUGCUGAGCUUCUUUACACUUCACUGACUUUGUUUUUUCUUAUUUGUUAAUGUUUUCAGGACUUUGAGUGAAACCGCUCAGCUGCAGCGGAGCCCUAAAGGUAAGGAGUAUUUGGAGUUUUCAGCACUCAUUCUUUAGUUAGGAUGUGUAAUCUUAUGAGUCCUUGCAAAAUUAAGAGACAGAUGCAGUUUCAGUCUGUGUCCACUUGAGAACAUUAAAGACUUCCUGAGGACUAUGAUGGUGGGGUGAGCAUCCAUCUGUUUAUUCAUUUUCAAAUACUUGUCUGGAGCAUGUGGGCAGCAGUCUAAACAGAAAGGCCCAUCUCUACCCAGCUCCUCCAGGUCUUUUGGGGCUGUUCACAUGCCAGCUAAGAGAUCUCUAGUGGGUCCUGGGUCUGCUCCAGGGCCAGCUCCUUGUUGGACAUGUCUAUGGAAAUUCUAAUGUUAAUCUGUGCCAGAGUAAAUAAAAGCGCACUUAGAAAAAUAUUUUAUUACAAUCCUUCGAAGGAAAGCCAAACCCUGUUAGGGUUCACAACAAUCAUUUGUAUUCAGGGAAAAAAAAAAGAUAAAACAGGAUCUGUUUUAUUGUGACUGAUCAGUUAUUAACCAAUAGGAGUGCAGCGUUCCUCAGUUUUUCAGGUGGAUCCUCCUUACGUUCUUGGUGGCUGCUCUGUGUUUUAUAUGCUGUCUAUGAUUUGUAGCUGUCCUUCUCCCCUGAUGACUUGCACUGGGCUCUGAGUCUGGAUGGAGACAGUCGUGCAUCUUUGGCCCUGACAAGCCAGAGUUUCUGAGGAGAAAAUCAGAAACUCUGCUGUAAAAGUAAUGGCUGUGACCAAAAAAAAACCCCUAACUCUUUAUUUUUGUCCUUUCAGUUCUGAAAAGGUGGAAAUCCUCCGAGGAUGGACAUUAAUCAGGUACUGAUACUCCAGAAGAGAACUUCCUCAUAACAAUUCUGUGAUUAUUUUCUUAUUUGUUGUGAUGUUUUAAUUGUAAUAUCUCAUAUUUGCUCUGAUUCAUCAAAUAAAAUCAUACAUCUUA